GACGAACCGAGCGAACGUUGUUCGGAAUCACUGGGCUUAAAGGGCGCGUAGGCGGUUUGCCAAGUCUGGUGUUAAAUACUGGAGCUCAACUCCAGCAUGGCAUCGGAAACUGGCAGGCUAGAGUAUGGUAGAGGCAAGGGGAAUUCCCGGUGUAGCGGUGAAAUGCGUAGAGAUCGGGAGGAACACCGGCGGCGAAGGCGGCUGCCUGGACCAGUCCUGACGCUGAGGCGCGAAAGCUAGGGGAGCAAACAGG
rnacentral:rRNA from 1 species